CACGUAGGGCGCAAGCGUUGUCCGGAAUUAUUGGGCGUAAAGAGCUCGUAGGCGGUCUGUUGCGUCUGCUGUGAAAACUCGGGGCUUACCCCGAGCCUGCAGUGGAUACGGGCAGACUAGAGGUAGGUAGGGGAGAAUGGAAUUCCCGGUGUAGCGGUGAAAUGCGCAGAUAUCGGGAGGAACACCGGUGGCGAAGGCGGUUCUCUGGGCCUUACCUGACGCUGAGGAGCGAAAGCGUGGGGAGCAACGG
rnacentral:rRNA from 1 species